rnacentral:rRNA from 1 species
UACGUAGGUGGCAAGCGUUAUCCGGAUUUACUGGGUGUAAAGGGCGUGUAGGCGGGAAAGCAAGUCAGAUGUGAAAACCAUGGGCUCAACCCAUGGCCUGCAUUUGAAACUGUAGUUCUUGAGUGUUGGAGAGGCAGGCGGAAUUCCGUGUGUAGCGGUGAAAUGCGUAGAUAUAUGGAAGAACACCAGUGGCGAAGGCGGCCGCCUGGCCUGUUGCUGACGCUGAGGCACGAAAGCGUGGGGAGCAAAUAGG